rnacentral:rRNA from 1 species
AGCGAACGCUAGCGGCGGGCCUAACACAUGCAAGUCGAGCGGGGAGCAAUCCCAGCGGCGAACGGGUGAGUAACACGUGGGUAAUGUGCCUUCUGGUGGGGAAUAACCUUGGGAAACCAGGGCUAAUACCGCAUAUCGUGCUUCGGCAUGAAAGCCUUCGGGCGCCAGUAGAGCAGCCUGCGUCCCAUUAUUUAGUCCUAGUUGGUAGGGUAAUGGCCUACCAAGGGUACGAUGGGUAGCUGGUCUGAGAGGAUGAUCAGCCACACUGGAACUGAGACACGGUCCAGACUCCUACGGGAGGCAGCAGUGGGGAAUAUUGCGCAAUGGGGGAAACCCUGACGCAGCCACGCCGCGUGAGUGAUGAAGGCCUGGUUGUAAAGCUCUGUCGGGAGGGACGGAAGGGAGCGAAUACUCUG